GACGAACGCUGGCGGCGUGCUUAACACAUGCAAGUCGAACGGAAAGGCCCCUUUGGGGGUACUCGAGUGGCGCACGGGUGAGUAACACGUGAGUAACCUGCCCUUGACUUCGGGAUAACUUCAGGAAACUGGGGCUAAUACCGGCUAGGAAUCCUUGCUGCAUGGUGGGGGUUGGAAAGCUUCGGCGGUUUUGGAUGGACUCGCGGCUUAUCAGCUUGUUGGUGGGGUAGUGGCUUACCAAGGCUUUGACGGGUAGCCGGCCUGAGAGGGCGACCGGCCACAUUGGGACUGAGAUACGGCCCAGACUCCUACGGGAGGCAGCAGUGGGGAAUAUUGCACAAUGGGCGGAAGCCGGAUGCAGCAACGCCGCGUGCGGGAUGACGGCCUUCGGGUUGGAAACCGCUUUCAGCAGGGGCGAAGCUUGUGGUGACGGUACCUGCAGAAGAAGCACCGGCUAACUACGUG
rnacentral:rRNA from 1 species